ACCUGGCUGGCUCAGUCGGUAGAGCAUGGGACUCUUGAUCUCAGGGUCAUGAGUUUGAACCCCAUGUUGGGUA